AGUGAACGCUGGCGGUAGGCCUAACACAUGCAAGUCGAACGGCAGCACAGUAAGAGCUUGCUCUUACGGGUGGCGAGUGGCGGACGGGUGAGGAAUACAUCGGAAUCUACUUUUUCGUGGGGGAUAACGUAGGGAACCUUACGCUAAUACCGCAUACGACCUACGGGUGAAAGAAGGGGAUCUUCGGACCUUGCGCGAUUGAAUGAGCCGAUGUCGGAUUAGCUAGUUGGCGGGGUAAAGGCCCACCAAGGCGACGAUCCGUAGCUGGUCUGAGAGGAUGAUCAGCCACACUGGAACUGAGACACGGUCCAGACUCCUACGGGAGGCAGCAGUGGGGAAUAUUGGACAAUGGGCGCAAGCCUGAUCCAGCCAUACCGCGUGGGUGAAGAAGGCCUUCGGGUUGUAAAGCCCUUUUGUUGGGAAAGAAAAGCAGCAGGUUAAUACCCCGCUGUUCUGACGGUACCCAAAGAAUAAGCACCGGCUAACUUCGUG
rnacentral:rRNA from 1 species